rnacentral:rRNA from 1 species
GACGAACGCUGGCGGCGUGCUUAACACAUGCAAGUCGAACGGAAAGGCCCUGCUUUUGUGGGGUUCUCGAUUGGCGAACGGGUGAGUAACACGUGAGUAACCUGCCCUUGACUUUGGGAUAUCUUCAGGAAACUGGGGCUAAUACCGGAUAGGAGCUCCUGCACCAUGGUGGGGGUUGGUAAGUUUCGGCGGUUGGGGAUGGUCUCGCGGCUUAUCAGCUUGUUGGUGUGGUAGUGGCAUACCAAGGCUUUGACGGGUAGGCGGCCUGAGAGGGUGACCGGCCACAUUGGGACUGAGAUACGGCCCAGACUCCUACGGGCGGCAGCAGUGGGGAGUAUUGCACAGUGGGCCGAAGCCUGAUGCAGCAACGCCGCGUGCGGGAUGACGGCCUUCGGGUUGUAAACCGCUUUCGCCUGUGACGAAGCGUGAGUGACGGUAAUGGGUAAAGAAGCACCGGCUAACUACGUG